UGCUCAGCUCGCAGCGGUCAGCUUUACUCGCAUGGCUGUUAACCGAAAGGUUGUAGGUUCGAGUCCUACCUGAGGAGCCA
rnacentral:tRNA from 1 species